GUAGGUAACAGCCCACCAAGGCGACGAUCGGUAGCCGGACUGAGAGGUUGAACGGCCACAUUGGGACUGAGACACGGCCCAGACUCCUACGGGAGGCAGCAGUGGGGAAUAUUGCACAAUGGGGGAAACCCUGAUGCAGCGACGCCGCGUGGAGGAAGAAGGUCUUCGGAUUGUAAACUCCUGUUGUUGAGGAAGAUAAUGACGGUACUCAACAAGGAAGUGACGGCUAACUACGUGCCAGCAGCCGCGGUAAAACGUAGGUCACAAGCGUUGUCCGGAAUUACUGGGUGUAAAGGGAGCGCAGGCGGGAAGACAAGUUGGAAGUGAAAUCCAUGGGCUCAACCCAUGAACUGCUUUCAAAACUGUUUUUCUUGAGUAGUGCAGAGGUAGGCGGAAUUCCCGGUGUAGCGGUGGAAUGCGUAGAUAUCGGGAGGAACACCAGUGGCGAAGGCGGCCUACUGGGCACCAACUGACGCUGAGGCUCGAAAGUGUGGGUAGCAAACAGGAUUAGAUACCCUGGUAGUCCACACUGUAAACGAUGAUUACUAGGUGUUGGAGGAUUGACCCCUUCAGUGCCGCAGUUAACACAAUAAGUAAUCCACCUGGGGAGUACGACCGCAAGGUUGAAACUCAAAGGAAUUGACGGGGGCCCGCACAAGCAGUGGAGUAUGUGGUUUAAUUCGACGCAACGCGAAGAACCUUACCAAGUCUUGACAUCCUGCGACGGACAUAGAAAUAUGUUUUUCCUUCGGGACGCAGAGACAGGUGGUGCAUGGUUGUCGUCAGCUCGUGUCGUGAGAUGUUGGGUUAAGUCCCGCAACGAGCGCAACCCUUAUGGUCAGUUACUACGCAAGAGGACUCUGGCCAGACUGCCGUUGACAAAACGGAGGAAGGUGGGGAUGACGUCAAAUCAUCAUGCCCUUUAUGACUUGGGCUACACACGUACUACAAUGGCGUUAAACAAAGAGAAGCAAGACCGCGAGGUGGAGCAAAACUCAGAAACAACGUCCCAGUUCGGACUGCAGGCUGCAACUCGCCUGCACGAAGUCGGAAUUGCUAGUAAUCGCAGAUCAGCAUGCUGCGGUGAAUACGUUCCCGGGCCUUGUACACACCGCCCGUCACACCAUGAGAGCCGGGGGGACCCGAAGUCGGUAGUCUAACCGCAAGGAGGACGCCGCCGAAGGUAAAACUGGUGAUUGGGGUGAAGUCGUAACAAGGUAGCCGUAGGAGAACCUGCGGCUG
rnacentral:rRNA from 1 species